GCCGGGUGUGGUGGCGCACACCUGUAGUCCCAGCUACUUGGGAGGCUGAGGCAGGAGAAUCACUUGAACCCGGGAGGUGGAGGUUGCAGUGAGCCGAGAUGGCACCACUGCACUCCAGCCUGGGCAACAGAGCAAGACUCUGUCUCCA
rnacentral:SRP_RNA from 1 species